CACAAAGGUAAAGUAGAAGGAGCAGAAAGGGUCAGAAAUGAGCUGGAAGGGGCAGAAGGAACACAAAGAUAAAGUAGGAGAAUGAGCAGGAAGGGCCUGCAAGGAGCAGGAAGGGCCUGCAAGGAGCAGAAAGGGACAGCAAGGAGCACAAAGGUAAAGGAGCAGAAAGAAUCAGAAGGAGCACAAAGGUAAAGAAGGAGAAAGAGCAGAAAGGGACAGCAAGGAGCACAAAGGUAAAGUAGAAAAGGGAGCAGAAAG